rnacentral:rRNA from 1 species
UACGGGGGGGGCAAGCGUUGUUCGGAAUUACUGGGCGUAAAGGGCUCGUAGGUUGCCAACUAAGUCAGACGUGAAAUCCCUCAGCUUAACUGGGGAACUGCGUCUGAUACUGGAUGGCUUGAGUUUGGGAGAGGGAUGCGGAAUUCCAGGUGUAGCGGUGAAAUGCGCAGAUAUCAGGAGGAACACCGGUGGCGAAGGCGGGUCUCUGGGCCGAUACUGACGCUGAGGAGCGAAAGCGUGGGGAGCGAACAGG